rnacentral:tRNA from 1 species
UUUGUAGCUCAGUCGGUAGAGCGUCAGUCUCAUAAUCCCCAAGAUUAUCGGAAUUGUACCCCGAUGCAAACCAGUAAUCUGCUCGUCUCCUGAGACGCAGCUGAAGGUCAGCGGUUCGAUCCCG